rnacentral:lncRNA from 1 species
GGGCGAGCCCUCUGCCAUGUCGGCGCUGUCGGGCACCUGCCGCUCCUCAUAGCACAUGCUGAUGGGGAACCUGGGUGGGACGGCCCUGUGGACCCCCCUGGUCUGGCCUCUGCUGGAGGUUGCCGGGCCCCACUCUCAGCCCUGCUCAGUUUGUGGGAAUCAGCACCAGCUCGCCAGAGGGGGGANGGCCCUGUGGACCCCCCUGGUCUGGCCUCUGCUGGAGGUUGCCGGGCCCCACCCUCAGCCCUGCUCAGUUUGUGGGAAUCAGCACCAGCUCGCCAGAGGGGGGACCUGGGACUUCCAAAGGCCCCUGUCCACCCCCACAGCAGUCAGAGCAGAGCCACUGCAGCCUCUACCUGUGUGUGCUCAGAGGCCCGUCGAGGUGGCACCUUCCAUUAGCAAGAGAUCUACAGACCAGGAAAGGCAGCUCAGAGAGGGGGCACCAUCUGCCCAAGGCCACACAGCCAAAAACGCAGGAGGAAAGACUUCAGGCCAAAAUGUGCUCCCUGAUCUGAUGUGCCGGUCGGGAGGCCCCUCCAGUCCCCGUGCAGGAGGUUGGCGUGGGGCAGCCUCAAAGGAGAAAGCACCUGUCCCGGGGGCCUCUGGGAAGUUGCUAGGACAUGGGUUUUGACUGGGUGUUCUGGGGCCGGAGUUCUGCUCACCCCACUGCCUCCUGCCUAAUGGAUGGACUGUCCUGCCGCCGCCCAGGAAAGCCUGAGCUCGGCCUAACCCUCUGCCUGGACCUGGCUGACCUGUGUCUCAUAGGAACACAGCACCCGUCGCAUGCUUUUAAUACGAUCUGACAUUUUUCGUUUCUUCAGGGCUGAGGACUGAGGCUAGGGCCUCCCAGGCAAGCGCUGGGCCACCGAGCUACACCCCCAGCCCUGGAGUGAGGUUUUCAGGGGUGCAGCUGCUGGGCACAUGAAGGAGGCCUGGCUGUUUUACCCAAGCCGUGCCCUGGGCUGCUUAGUGGCUGGAGACACUGUGGCGGGUGCGGCCGGGCGCCUGGCAUGUGACCGGGCAUCUGGACGGGAGCUGGUUUUGUGCCCCAACACUGACCUCUGGAGGCUGGCGACUCUGAGCUCCGCGGCUCUCUGUGGGCCUCUCCCUGCAGGACGGGACCCUAAGGAGGCUGUGUGUCCCCUUCAGAUAGCAAAGGGGCAUCUGAGGACAUCUGUCACUGCUCCCCUGAGCCUCUCUGGCCAUGGCCGCUGUCCCAGAUCCCUCUGUCAUUCUCCAGGUGAGAAACAGGCAGGGACUCGAGCCCUGGGUCACAGGCCUAGGCUGGUUGCCUGACCCGACUUUGACAGAGGCAAAGUGACUUUGAAUCCGACCCCCUCCCCCCAGCAGAGCGCCCUCAGACCUGCAUUUGGAGGAUCAGAGCUGGCCCUGAAGGCCUCCCCAUGCGGGCAGCGGGCUCCAGGCUCAGUAGCCUCAUGCCUAGGCUGGGCUCUCGGCCAGCGUUUCCAGAACAUCUGGAAUGCAUGUGGCAGGUCGCUGGAUGCGCUGCUGCGGGUUUGGCUGUGUCCUUGUGUGUCACCUGAUUACCAUUAUUUACUUAAGGUCCUUUCCCUCCAGAUCAAUUGAUUUUAAAAGAAAUAUGCCUUUAAAAAGAAGUAUAUAAGCCAGACACGGUGGUGCACACCUGUAAUCCCAGCAGCUCUGGAGGCUGAGGCAAGAGGAUCGUGGGUUCAAAGCCAGCCUCAGCAACUCAGUGAGGGGCUAGAUAACUCAGCAAGCCCCUGUCUCUAAAUAAAAAAUUAAAAAGGUUGGGGACGUGGCUCAGUGGCUAAAUGCCCCUGGGUUCAAUCCCUGGUGAAAAGAAAAGUAUUCAGAGUAAGAGCGGAAGUCCUCUCAGUGACCCAGGCACCUCCCUGAUCCCACCUGCACUGCACCCCUCUCUCCCGACCCUCUGCUGUGGCCAGGCUGGCUCAGACCUUGAACAGGG